GGGUCGUUAGCUCAGCUGGUAGAGCAGUUGACUUUUAAUCAAUUGGUCGCUGGUUCGAAUCCAGCACGACCCACCA
rnacentral:tRNA from 32 species